UACAGAGGUCUCAAGCGUUGUUCGGAUUCAUUGGGCGUAAAGGGUGUGUAGGUGGCGCCGUAAGUCGGGUGUGAAAUCUCGGGGCUUAACUCCGAAACUGCAUUCGAUACUGCGGUGCUUGAGGACUGGAGAGGAGACUGGAAUUCCUGGUGUAGCGGUGAAAUGCGCAGAUAUCAGGAGGAACACCAAUUGCGAAGGCAGCUCGCUGGGACGUUACUGACGCUGAGACGCGAAAGCGUGGGGAGCAAACAGG
rnacentral:rRNA from 1 species